rnacentral:rRNA from 1 species
UACGUAGGUGGCAAGCGUUGUCCGGAAUUACUGGGCGUAAAGCGCACGCAGGUGGCUGAGUCAGUCGAUUGUGAAAGCCCUGGGCUUAACCUGGGAAUUGCAGUCGAUACUACUCGGCUCGAGUAUGGGAGAGGGCAGUGGAAUUCCCGGUGUAGCGGUGAAAUGCGUAGAGAUCGGGAGGAACAUCAGUGGCGAAGGCGGCCAUCUGGAUCAACACUGACGCUGAGGCACGAAAGCGUGGGGAGCAAACAGG